rnacentral:sRNA from 2 species
AGCGCGAAAACGCAUCACGGCAGGAGCGGGGGAACCACAGGUAAGUCGCCCCGGACCGCUUCCCGGAAACGGUCCUGGGCUAGGGGUGAAGCCGUGCCACAGCGCGGCCGGGCAACUCCAGCCCGAAUCCGACAGCUCACCUCGCAGGCGUGGGAGAGGACCG